rnacentral:rRNA from 1 species
AGAGUUUGAUCAUGGCUCAGGACGAACGCUGGCGGCAGGCUUAACACAUGCAAGUCGAGCGCACUCUUCGGAGUGAGCGGCAGACGGGUGAGUAACGCGUGGGAAUCUACCUUGAACUACGGAAUAGCACCGGGAAACUGGUAUUAAUGCCGUAUGUGCCCUUAGGGGGAAAGAUUUAUCGGUUCAGGAUGAGCCCGCGUUGGAUUAGCUAGUUGGUGGGGUAAUGGCCUACCAAGGCGACGAUCCAUAGCUGGUCUAAGAGGAUGAUCAGCCACAUUGGGACUGAGACACGGCCCAAACUCCUACGGGAGGCAGCAGUGGGGAAUAUUGGACAAUGGGCGCAAGCCUGAUCCAGCCAUGCCGCGUGAGUGAUGAAGGUCUUAGGAUUGUAAAGCUCUUUCAGUGGGGACGAUAAUGACGGUACCCACAGAAGAAGCCCCGGCUAACUUCGUGCCAGCAGCCGCGGUAAUACGAAGGGGGCUAGCGUUGUUCGGAAUUACUGGGCGUAAAGCGCACGUAGGCGGAUAUUUAAGUCAGGGGUGAAAUCCCGGGGCUCAACCCCGGAACGGCCUCUGAUACUGGGUAUCUUGAGUGUGGUAGAGGUAAGUGGAAUUGCGAGUGUAGAGGUGAAAUUCGUAGAUAUUCGCAGGAACACCAGUGGCGAAGGCGGCUUACUGGACCACAACUGACGCUGAGGUGCGAAAGCGUGGGGAGCAAACAGGAUUAGAUACCCUGGUAGUCCACGCCGUAAACGAUGGAAGCUAGCCGUCGGGUUGUUUACAGCUCGGUGGCGCAGUUAACGCAUUAAGC